rnacentral:snRNA from 1 species
CCGUUUAAACUAUAAACAUUCG